GAAACUUAAAGGAAGUUGACGGGGCCCGGCACAAGCGGUGGAGUAUGUGGUUAAUUCGAUGCAACGCGAAGAACCUUACCUGGCCUUGACAUGUCGAGAACUUUCCAGAGAUGGAUUGGUGCCUUCGGGAACUCUGACACAGGUGCUGCAUGGCUGUCGUCAGCUCGUGUCGUGAGAUGUUGGGUUAAGUCCCGUAACGAGCGCAACCCUUGUCCUUAGUUACCAGCACGUUAUGGUGGGCACUCUAAGGAGACUGCCGGUGACAAACCGGAGGAAGGUGGGGAUGACGUCAGGUCAUCAUGGCCCUUACGGCCUGGGCUACACACGUGCUACAAUGGUCGGUACAAAGGGUUGCCAAGCCGCGAGGUGGAGCUAAUCCCAUAAAACCGAUCGUAGUCCGGAUCGCAGUCUGCAACUCGACUGCGUGAAGUCGGAAUCGCUAGUAAUCGUGAAUCAGAAUGUCACGGUGAAUACGUUCCCGGGCCUU
rnacentral:rRNA from 1 species